GACGAACCGUGCGAACGUUGUUCGGAAUCACUGGGCUUAAAGGGCGCGUAGGCGGGCGGUCAAGUCAGAGGUGAAAUCCCACGGCUCAACCGUGGAAGUGCCCCUGAUACUGACUGUCUCGAGGGAGGUAGGGGCGUGCGGAACUUCCGGUGGAGCGGUGAAAUGCGUAGAUAUCGGAAGGAACACCGAUGGCGAAAGCAGCGCGCUGGACCUCUACUGACGCUGAGGCGCGAAAGCCAGGGGAGCAAACGGG
rnacentral:rRNA from 1 species